rnacentral:rRNA from 1 species
GGGGAACCAGGACUUUUACUUUGAAAAAAUUAGAGUGCUCCAGGCAGGCCUUUGCUCGAAUACAUUAGCAUGGAAUAAUAAAAUAGGACGUGCGGUUCUAUUUUGUUGGUUUCUAGGACCGCCGUAAUGAUUAAUAGGGACAGUCGGGGGCAUCAGUAUUCCAUAGUCAGAGGUGAAAUUCUUGGAUCUAUGGAAGACUAACUACUGCGAAAGCAUUUGCCAAGGAUGUUUUCAUUAAUCAGGAACGAAAGUUAGGGGAUCGAGGACGAUCAGAUACCGUCGUAGUCUUAACCAUAAACUAUGCCGACUAGGGAUCGGACGAUGUUAUAUUUUGACUCGUUCGGCACCUUACGAGAAAUCAAAGUGCUUGGGCUCCAGGGGGAGUAUGGUCGCAAGGCUGAAACUUAAAGAAAUUGACGGAAGGGCACCACCAGGGGUGGAGCCUGCGGCUUAAUUUGACUCAACACGGGGAAACUCACCAGGUCCAGACACAAUGAGGAUUGACAGAUUGAGAGCUCUUUCUUGAUUUUGUGGGUGGUGGUGCAUGGCCGUUCUUAGUUGGUGGAGUGAUUUGUCUGCUUAAUUGCGAUAACGAACGAGACCU